rnacentral:rRNA from 1 species
GAUGAACGCUGGCGGCGUGCCUAAUACAUGCAAGUCGAGCGAACAGACGAGGAGCUUGCUCCUCUGACGUUAGCGGCGGACGGGUGAGUAACACGUGGAUAACCUACCUAUAAGACUGGGAUAACUUCGGGAAACCGGAGCUAAUACCGGAUAAUAUAUUGAACCGCAGGGUUCAAUAGUGAAAGACGGUUUUGCUGUCACUUAUAGAUGGAUCCGCGCCGCAUUAGCUAGUUGGUAAGGUAACGGCUUACCAAGGCAACGAUGCGUAGCCGACCUGAGAGGGUGAUCGGCCACACUGGAACUGAGACACGGUCCAGACUCCUACGGGAGGCAGCAGUAGGGAAUCUUCCGCAAUGGGCGAAAGCCUGACGGAGUAACGCCGCGUGAGUGAUGAAGGUCUUCGGAUCGUAAAACUCUGUUAUUAGGGAAGAACAAAUGUCUAAGUAACCAUGCACGUCUUGACGGUACCUAAUCAGAAAGCCACGGCUAACUACGUG